rnacentral:misc_RNA from 1 species
CUUCAGACAGACUCUUCU